rnacentral:tRNA from 1 species
GGCCUCGUAGCUCAGUUGGGUAGAGCGUUGAUUGUACUAAAGCCUUCCCCUUGCUGGCGUGGGUUCGAAUCCCACCGAGGCCA